CACAAGAAAAGCCUCAUUCUUGAUGUAGCUAGCAUUGAUUAUCUACAACAAUCUUGUAUUAAACUAAAAAGGAGACUCAUAGGUGGAUGGGAUUGCUUUUGAAAUGAAGCAAACUUUAAAUUUGCCAAUACCAUUUUCACUCCAUCCAAUGGAUCCUGGCGGCACUAUCUUCAUUCACUGUGCGAGACCUGUUGAAACCUAAAAUGGUCCUCCAAAUAGAAUCUGCAUCCCAAGCAUCCAAUGGAAGGCCG
rnacentral:lncRNA from 1 species